CCUGAUGCAGCAACGCCGCGUGAGGGAUGACGGCCUUCGGGUUGUAAACCUCUUUUAGUAGGGAAGAAGCGAAAGUGACGGUACCUGCAGAAAAAGCACCGGCUAACUACGUGCCAGCAGCCGCGGUAAUACGUAGGGUGCAAGCGUUGUCCGGAAUUAUUGGGCGUAAAGAGCUCGUAGGCGGUUUGUCGCGUCUGCUGUGAAAUCCCGAGGCUCAACCUCGGGCUUGCAGUGGGUACGGGCAGACUAGAGUGCGGUAGGGGAGAUUGGAAUUCCUGGUGUAGCGGUGGAAUGCGCAGAUAUCAGGAGGAACACCGAUGGCGAAGGCAGAUCUCUGGGCCGUAACUGACGCUGAGGAGCGAAAGCAUGGGGAGCGAACAGGAUUAGAUACCCUGGUAGUCCAUGCCGUAAACGUUGGGCGCUAGAUGUAGGGACCUUUCCACGGUUUCUGUGUCGUAGCUAACGCAUUAAGCGCCCCGCCUGGGGAGUACGGCCGCAAGGCUAAAACUCAAAGGAAUUGACGGGGGCCCGCACAAGCGGCGGAGCAUGCGGAUUAAUUCGAUGCAACGCGAAGAACCUUACCAAGGCUUGACAUACACCGGAAACGGCCAGAGAUGGUCGCCCCCUUGUGGUCGGUG
rnacentral:rRNA from 1 species